UCCAAGGAUCUCCUGUGUGUCUGACCAAGAUGGUGACUGCUAAGGUGUAGCCACCGAUGAACUUGCACAAAUACCGAAAGCAGCAGCCUGGGACAGGAAUAUAAACUUCUCUCUUCCUACUACUUUAUUUAUUUCAAAUGUGCAGAUUGCUGAGGUAAGCAAGCCU